rnacentral:lncRNA from 1 species
CCAAAGUACUGCAAAAAUCAUAUAAAAAUAAAACUAACAUUAUGGGCACUUUAUUCUAAUCAAAUUUAAGAUCAUACUUCAGUCUAGCUGUUAGCUAUUGUUCUGUUGGCCAACCAGCUCACCAGAAACAAUUAACUUCUAUUUGAUAGAUAAAUGGUUUUUCAACACUUGGGAGACAAAUCUUGCAUUCCAUUUCAAUAUUUGGUAUUUCAGACUCAAACUGGUAUAGUUUCUUUCUUGAGAACUUUGACCAUUUGAAAACAGUACCCAAAGAUUGUGCUAUAUUUUAGACAAACAAUAUUGCUGAUGGUAUAAAUCAGAACUAAAUAAUGCAGUAAUAUCUGCUAACAAUAUGUGAAUAUAUCUGCAGAAAAU